AGCAUUCAGACAUUUUCUGCUAUACCAUUUCCUUGCAAGCAUGUUGGCGAACGCAAAAUAAAUGAGAACAGAAACAACGCCUAUGGUGAUAAUCUCUUUCUCAGGACUUCGUUGCUAUUGCAGAUGCUGCCUCCUGGCUUGGUUUCCAGUUCAGUUGCACACCCUGUAUGUCACUCUCCUGGGUGGAGAAGCCUCUUUUUAUGGUACUUGGACCAGCUGGUCUAACUGGCUCGGUUUGCCCGUGACUGCCAAUAUUUCCUCUGCAAAAUGAAAUAAGACAAGCAACACCCUUGCAACUUCCUACUGGCAACCAUGGUCACCAAACUCCUGCUAAUUGGGCAAUCCAAAAGCAGCACUCUCCAAGAAAUAAGAAGCCCGGUUUUCUGCAAAACCAGAAUUCUUGAUCUUUGCCAGGAGAAUAGAGUAUAACUCCUGUGUCGAGAACUUUCCCAGCCUGGAAAAUAGAAGAAAAUCAAACACAGAUUGAAAGUGGAAAGAGAAAAGAUGCAAGAAUAAAGGGAUGGCUCUUCAAGUGAGGACAACAGACACAGGAAAACAUAAGCCUAAAGUAUGGAUUUAUUUUCCAAACUGAAGUAAGACUUACUGGAGUAAGUCCAGAGGAGGGCCACAGUGAUUAUCAAAUGGCUGGAGUACCUCUUCCAUGAAGAGAGAGAGAGGUGGGAUCAUUCAGCCUGGAGAAAAGAAGGCUGCAAGAUGUUACAGUAGCCUUCCAGUACCUUAAGGGAGCCUACAGGAAAGGUAUUUAUGGACAUUGAUGGGAUCCCCCUGAGCCUCUUCUCCAGGAUGAGAAGUACCUCACCUCCUGCUUGCCUAUGGCUUCCUGCAAGUCUUCUAUCCACCAUGCGGGGGCCCUUCCCUGCUUUACUCUGGGGCUUACAGUUUGGUAGGAUGAAGAUGUGCCUGGAAGACACUGGCUGGAGCCACUUAAUGCUUUUGUGGCCUGUCCUCAGUCCGGUGAACACCACAGUGCUACCUGGAUAGUGAUAUGUGCUGUGUGAGACUACCAAGGGGGUGUUCUACCCAUAAGGGGCAGCCAGACUUGUGGACUCUGCCUUCCCUCAAGAGUUGAAGCUGCCCAAACAGCUAUUUCAGGGAAGAUGGACAUCUGGGUUUAAUUCAGCCUCUGUCUUGGACACAAGUAGUUCUCAAAGUCCUCCUCAUCUUGGAUUCUCACUAUCUAUGAAGAGUGCAGGGAGCUACAGAGGAAGUCUCAAAAACUUUCUGAGCUCCCACUACAAUAUUCUUGUUGGACAUUAGGAAGUACUUCUCAGAAAGAGUGGUGAGGCAGUGGCACAGGCUGCCCAGGGAGGUGGUGGAGUCACUGUCCCUGAAGUUAUUCAAGAAAUGUGGAGUUGUGGCAGUGAAAGACAUGGUUAGUGGAUAUGGUGGGGAUGGGUUGGGGUUGGACUGGAUGAUCUUAGAGGUAUUUUCCAACCCUAAUGAUUCUGUUAUUCUUUGACUUCAGAGGUUGCUUGAAAGCAAAAUUGGCUUUAAUCUUGUAUGUAGAUACCAUUAUGAUUUCAUUGUUCUAAUCUGACUGAUGACAUCAGUACAUCCAUAAAAACAGUUUGUAGCAGGAAAUCUGUCUGGAAUAAAUGUGGCUGCAAGAGUG